AUUCAACCGGAAAACACCGGUUAAGUGGUAGGAAUUAUGUAUGAAAUCAAUUAGAAUCGGAACACAAAUUAUUAACAGCCUUCAACAAGAAAAUCGAUCACAAUUUUAUUGGUUAAGCUGUAUAAAAAGCACAUAUUGUUCGUGUCAACUUUUUUUAAGUUUCGAUUUUUAAAUAACACUAACCAAUUCAAUUCACAAUGUUAAAAAUUUAUAUUUUUUUAUUUGCAAUUUUGACAGUAGCGCUGUGUUCUCCAGUUGUGCUGGAUGAAUUUCCUGAAAUGAUGACAGAAGAUAAGAGAGCCAAACCAAACUGUGGCAGUGGAGCCGUGUGUGGCAAACGUUGCUGUAAAGGUGGUUCUUUUCCAUUCCCACCGAGACCCAAGACGUAAAUCGUAACACUUUUGAAAACACACUUUUUUAAGGUGAAGUUGUUGAUCAUUUUCGAAGAAAAUUGAUCAUCACUGUAAAAUUCUCUGUAUUGAAUUCAAUUCAACGAAUUUCUGCACCAAAAUGAAUCAGCAUGUGCCUUCUUGAAGCCACUGAAAGAAUUUUC